rnacentral:rRNA from 1 species
UGGGGAAUUUUGCACAAUGGGGGAAACCCUGAUGCAGCGACGCCGCGUGAUUUAGAAGGCCUUCGGGUUGUAAAAAUCUUUUUUACGGGAUGAAAAUGACAGUACCGUAAGAAUAAGGUCCGGCUAAAUACGUGCCAGCAGCCGCGGUAAUACGUAUGGACCGAGCGUUGUCCGGAAUCAUUGGGCGUAAAGGGUACGUAGGCGGCCUAGUAAGUUAGAAGUGAAAUAAUAUAGCUCAACUAUAUAAAGCUUUUAAAACUGCUAGGCUUGAGAGAUGGAAGGGAAAGUGGAAUUCCUAGUGUAGCGGUGAAAUGCGCAGAUAUUAGGAAGAAUACCGGUGGCGAAGGCGACUUUCUGGUCAUGAUCUGACGCUGAGGUACGAAAGCGUGGGUAGCAAACAGG